UACGAAGGGGGCGAGCGUUGUUCGGAAUUACUGGGCGUAAAGGGCGCGCAGGCGGCUCUGAAAGUCAGAUGUGAAAGCCCCGGGCUUAACCUGGGAAUUGCAUUUGAUACUCUGGAGCUUGAGUACGGGAGAGGAGAGUGGAAUUCCCAGUGUAGAGGUGAAAUUCGUAGAUAUUGGGAAGAACACCGGUGGCGAAGGCGGCUCUCUGGACCGUAACUGACGCUGAGGCGCGAAAGCGUGGGGAGCAAACAGGAU
rnacentral:rRNA from 1 species